rnacentral:rRNA from 1 species
UAGGGAAUAUUGCUUAAUGGGCGAAAGCCUGAAGCAGCAACGCCGCGUGGACGAAGAAGGCCUUCGGGUUGUAAAGUUCUUUUAUAUGGGAUGAGGAAGGGCAGUACCAUAUGAAUAAGUCUCGGCUAACUACGUGCCAGCAGCCGCGGUAAAACGUAGGAGACGAGCGUUAUCCGGAUUUACUGGGCGUAAAGAGCGUGUAGGAGGCAAUACAAGUUGGAUGUAAAAGCUCUCGGCUAAACUGAGAGAGGACGUUCAAGACUGUAGAGCUAGAGGAAGGCAGAGGUAGAUGGAACUCCGGGAGUAGUGGUGAAAUGCGUAGAUAUCCGGAAGAACACCAGAGGCGAAAGCGAUCUACUGGGCCUUAACAGACACUGAGACGCGAAAGCCAGGGUAGCAAACGG